rnacentral:rRNA from 1 species
AACGAACGCUGGCGGCAUGCCUAACACAUGCCAGUCGAACGAGACCUUCGGGUCUAGUGGCGCACGGGUGCGUAACGCGUGGGAACCUGCCCUUAGGUUCGGAAUAACUCCCCGAAAGGGGUGCUAAUACCGGAUAAUUUCUUCGGACCAAAGAUUUAUCGCCUUUGGAUGGGCCCGCGUUGGAUUAGCUAGUUGGUAGGGUAAAAGCCUACCAAGGCGACGAUCCAUAGCUGGUCUGAGAGGAUGAUCAGCCACACUGGGACUGAGACACGGCCCAGACUCCUACGGGAGGCAGCAGUGGGGAAUAUUGGACAAUGGGCGAAAGCCUGAUCCAGCAAUGCCGCGUGAGUGAUGAAGGCCUUAGGGUUGUAAAGCUCUUUUAACCGGGAUGAUAAUGACAGUACCGGGAGAAUAAGCCCCGGCUAACUCCGUG